rnacentral:rRNA from 1 species
AUGACCCAAAAAUAUACUAUACCGAUCAAGGCUCGUUCGACUUCCUGCAGAAUUUCACUUUACGCUGAUGACGCGGGCAUCUUUGCCAACCCUGUGAAGGAAGAAUUGGACGCCAUUGUGGGAAUACUUGCCUGUUUUGGGGAGGCAUCGGGUCUCAUUACCAACGUGACCAAGACGGAGGUGUUCGCUAUUCGCUGCCAGCAGAUUGACCUCGCCCGCAUUUUAUCGGAAUUCCCUGUGAAGAUCGCUGCAUUCCCAACUAAGUACUUGGGCCUUCCCCUUCCUACCUCAAGGCUCAAGCGGGUUCAUCUGCAACCUCUCAUAGACAAAGCAAUGGGCAAGCUUCCGGGAUGGAAGGGAAAGAACCUUGCGAGGCCGGGAAGG